rnacentral:lncRNA from 1 species
UUCUAUUUUAUUAUUAGUGUGAAUGCUUGUAAAAGGAUUCACAGUAUUGUUCUUCUAAUCUUUAUUAUUAGUGUGAAUGCUUGUAAAAGCAUUCACAGUAUUGUUGUUGUAAUCUUUAUUAUUAGUGUGAAUGCUUGUAAAAGCAUUCACAGUAUUGUUCUUCUAUUCUUUAUUAGUGUGAAUGCUUGUAAAAGCAUUCAUUAGUGUGAAUGCUUGUAAAAGCAUUCACAGUAUUGUUGUUGUAAUCUUUAUUAUUAUUAUUAGUGUGAAUGCUUGUAAAAGCAUUCACAGUAUUGUUCUUCUAAUCUUUAUUAGUGUGAAUGCUUGUAAAAGCAUUCACAGUAUUGUUGUUGUAAUCUUUAUUAUUAUUAUAUAUUCCGUACGUUUUUUGGCAUCUAUCUCCUUCAAAACCGUUCAACUUAGAAAAACCAUUCAAACACCGUUAGAUUCCUCUUCUUUUGGACAUGACUGCUUCUACUUUUCUCAUUUAUAA